UACGGGGGGGGCAAGCGUUGUUCGGAAUUAUUGGGCGUAAAGGGCUCGUAGGCGGUCCGUCACGUCGGGAGUGAAAACUCAGGGCUCAACCCUGAGCGUGCUUCCGAUACGGGCGGACUAGAGGUAUGCAGGGGAGAACGGAAUUCCUGGUGUAGCGGUGGAAUGCGCAGAUAUCAGGAGGAACACCGGUGGCGAAGGCGGUUCUCUGGGCAUUACCUGACGCUGAGGAGCGAAAGCAUGGGGAGCGAACAGG
rnacentral:rRNA from 1 species